AUGGCCGAGGGUGCAGCCAGCAGGGAGGGUUCAGCGCCGCCUGACGCGGCCGGGAGCGAAGACGACCCCCGAGUGGGCCCGGAUGCCACCUCCGGGGACUGUGUGGCGGCGGCCCCUGGGGGCCGGUGGAGGGACCGUCGCAGUGGGGUCGCCCUGCCCGGAGCUGCGGGGCCCCCGGCGGACAGCGAGGCCGCCCUCCUGGAGGCUGCGCGGGCGACCCCUCGGCGCAGCAGCAUCAUCAAGGAUCCUGCAAACCAAAAAUGUGGUGGAAGAAAGAAAACCGUGUCUUUCAGCAGCAUGCCGUCGGAAAAGAAAAUCAGCAGCGCAAGCGACUGCAUCAGUUUCAUGCAGGCUGGCUGUGAACUGAAGAAAGUACGGCCGAAUUCUCGUAUUUACAACCGGUUCUUCACUCUGGACACAGACCUGCAGGCUCUUCGCUGGGAACCUUCCAAGAAGGACCUCGAGAAAGCUAAGCUUGAUAUUUCUGCCAUAAAAGAGAUCCGACUGGGGAAAAACACGGAAACAUUUAGAAACAAUGGUCUUGCUGACCAGAUUUGUGAGGAUUGUGCCUUUUCCAUACUCCACGGGGAAAACUACGAGUCUCUGGACUUAGUGGCCAAUUCAGCGGACGUAGCAAACAUCUGGGUGUCAGGGUUGCGGUAUCUGGUUUCUCGAAGUAAGCAACCCCUCGAUUUUAUGGAGGGCAACCAGAACACACCAAGGUUCAUGUGGUUGAAGACAGUGUUUGAAGCAGCAGAUAUCGAUGGGAAUGGGAUUAUGUUGGAAGACACGUCUGUAGAGUUAAUAAAACAACUCAACCCUACCCUGAAGGAGUCCAAGAUUAGGCUAAAAUUUAAAGAAAUACAGAAGAGCAAAGAAAAACUGACAACUCGAGUGACGGAAGAGGAGUUUUGCGAAGCUUUUUGUGAACUUUGCACCAGGCCAGAAGUGUAUUUCCUGCUUGUGCAGAUAUCAAAAAACAAAGAAUAUUUGGAUGCCAAUGAUCUCAUGCUUUUUUUGGAAGCUGAGCAAGGAGUCACUCAUAUCACUGAGGACAUGUGCUUAGACAUUAUUCGGAGAUACGAACUUUCCGAAGAAGGACGUCAGAAAGGGUUUCUUGCAAUUGAUGGCUUUACUCAGUAUUUGUUGUCACCGGAAUGUAACAUUUUUGAUCCUGAACAAAAUAAGGUUGCCCAAGACAUGACCCAGCCUUUAUCUCACUAUUACAUCAAUGCCUCUCACAACACCUAUCUCAUUGAAGACCAGUUCAGGGGGCCAGCUGAUAUUAACGGGUAUGUUAGAGCUUUGAAAAUGGGCUGUCGCAGCAUUGAACUUGAUGUAAAUGAUGGCUCAGACAACGAACCGAUUCUUUGUAAUCGAAACAACAUGACAACACACCUUUCCUUUCGAAGUGUCAUAGAGGUGAUAAAUAAAUUUGCCUUUGUGGCUUCUGAAUACCCACUCAUUCUUUGCUUGGGGAAUCACUGCUCCCUCCCACAGCAGAAGGUCAUGGUCCAACAGAUGAAAAAGGUCUUUGGCAGUAAACUCUAUACUGAAGCACCUUUGCCGUCAGAAUCCUACCUCCCAUCACCAGAAAAAUUGAAAAGAAUGAUCAUUGUGAAAGGAAAGAAAUUGCCUUCUGAUACAGAUGUUUUAGAAGGAGAAGUUACAGAUGAAGAUGAAGAAGCCGAAAUGUCUCGAAGGAUGUCAGUAGAUUACAAUGGUGAGCAGAAACAGAUCUUGCUGUGUAGGGAGCUCUCUGACUUGGUAUCUAUCUGUAAAUCUGUUCAGUACAGGGAUUUUGAAUUAUCUAUGAAAAGCCAAAACUAUUGGGAAAUUUGUUCAUUUAGUGAAACAGAGGCCAGCCGAAUUGCAAAUGAAUACCCAGAGGAUUUUGUAAAUUAUAAUAAGAAGUUCUUAUCACGAAUCUAUCCAAGCGCCAUGAGAAUUGAUUCCAGUAACUUGAAUCCACAGGACUUUUGGAAUUGUGGCUGUCAGAUUGUGGCAAUGAAUUUUCAGACGCCAGGUCCAAUGAUGGACCUCCACACUGGCUGGUUUCUUCAGAAUGGAGGCUGUGGUUAUGUUCUAAGGCCGUCUAUCAUGCGAGAUGAAGUUUCUUACUUCAGUGCAAACACAAAGGGCAUUGUACCUGGGGUGUCUCCUCUAGUGCUUCAUAUUAAGAUUAUCAGUGGUCAGAACUUCCCAAAGCCCAAGGGAGCUUGUGCCAAAGGGGAUGUCAUAGAUCCCUAUGUGUGUAUAGAGAUACAUGGAAUUCCAGCGGACUGUUCGGAACAAAGAACUAAAACUGUACAACAAAACAGUGAUAAUCCUAUUUUUGAUGAGACAUUUGAGUUUCAAGUGAACCUGCCUGAACUGGCCAUGAUCCGUUUUGUGGUUCUGGAUGAUGACUACAUCGGGGAUGAGUUUAUAGGGCAAUAUACAAUACCGUUUGAAUGCUUGCAGCCUGGAUAUCGGCAUGUUCCCCUCCGUUCCUUUGUGGGUGACAUCAUGGAGCAUGUAACUCUUUUUGUCCAUAUAGCAAUAACUAAUAGAAGUGGAGGAGGAAAGCCACAGAAGCGCAGCCUUUCAGUGAGAAUGGGGAAGAAAGUUCGGGAGUGUACCAUGCUCAGGAAUAUUGGUCUUAAAAACAUAGAUGACAUCUUUAAGAUAGCAGUUCAUCCCUUACGAGAAGCCAUAGAUAUGAGAGAAAAUAUGCAGAAUGCCAUAGUGUCUGUUAAGGAAUUGUGUGGACUUCCUCCAACUGCCAGUCUGAAGCAGUGCCUGUUGACCCUGUCUUCUCGGCUCAUCACCAGUGACAAUACUCCUUCCGUCUCUCUUGUGAUGAAAGACAACUUUCCUUAUCUAGAGCCUCUGGGGGCAAUUCCAGAUAUGCAGAAAAAGAUGCUAGCUGCUUAUGAUCUGAUGAUCCAAGAGAGCCGAUUUCUCAUAGAAAUGGCAGACACAGUCCAGGAAAAGAUUGUGCAGUGUCAAAAAGCAGGCAUGGAGUUCCAUGAGGAGCUUCAUAAUCUGGGGGCAAAAGAAGGCUUGAAAGGAAGAAAACUCAACAAAGCAACUGAGAGCUUUGCUUGGAACAUUACAGUAUUGAAGGGCCAGGGAGACCUAUUGAAGAACGCCAAGAAUGAAGCCAUAGAAAACAUGAAGCAGAUCCAGCUGGCAUGCUUGUCUUGUGGCCUCAGUAAAGCCCCCAGCAGUGGUGCUGAGGUGAAGAGUAAGCGCAGCCUGGAGGCCAUAGAGGAGAAGGAGAGCUGUGAGGACAAUGGGAAGCUGUGA
rnacentral:lncRNA from 1 species